rnacentral:rRNA from 1 species
UACGGGGGGGCAAGCGUUGUUCGGAAUUACUGGGCGUAAAGGGCGCGUAGGCGGCCUUCUAAGUCGAACGUGAAAUCCCCGGGCUCAACCCGGGAACUGCGUCCGAUACUGGAAGGCUAGAAUCCGGGAGAGGGAUGCGGAAUUCCAGGUGUAGCGGUGAAAUGCGUAGAUAUCUGGAGGAACACCGGUGGCGAAGGCGGCAUCCUGGACCGGUAUUGACGCUGAGGCGCGAAAGCCAGGGGAGCAAACGGG